rnacentral:miRNA from 1 species
GCAGACACAUUCCAGCCAAUCAGCAGCAGACCCUCCUUCCCAGGCCCUCCCACUCCUGGACAGCUCACUAAGAAUGCAGCUUCACAAUGAAUGUAAAAAGGAUGCUGUCCAGGAGGUGGGAGGGUCUGGGAGGGAGGGUUUGCUGCUGAUUGGCUGGAAUGUGUCUG